rnacentral:rRNA from 1 species
AGAGUUUGAUCCUGGCUCAGGAUGAACGCUGGCGGCGUGCCUAAUACAUGCAAGUCGAGCGAACGGACGAGAAGCUUGCUUCUCUGAUGUUAGCGGCGGACGGGUGAGUAACACGUGGAUAACCUACCUAUAAGACUGGGAUAACUUCGGGAAACCGGAGCUAAUACCGGAUAAUAUUUUGAACCGCAUGGUUCAAAAGUGAAAGACGGUCUUGCUGUCACUUAUAGAUGGAUCCGCGCUGCAUUAGCUAGUUGGUAAGGUAACGGCUUACCAAGGCAACGAUGCAUAGCCGACCUGAGAGGGUGAUCGGCCACACUGGAACUGAGACACGGUCCAGACUCCUACGGGAGGCAGCAGUAGGGAAUCUUCCGCAAUGGGCGAAAGCCUGACGGAGCAACGCCGCGUGAGUGAUGAAGGUCUUCGGAUCGUAAAACUCUGUUAUUAGGGAAGAACAUAUGUGUAAGUAACUGUGCACAUCUUGACGGUACCUAAUCAGAAAGCCACGGCUAACUACGUGCCAGCAGCCGCGGUAAUACGUAGGUGGCAAGCGUUAUCCGGAAUUAUUGGGCGUAAAGCGCGCGUAGGCGGUUUUUUAAGUCUGAUGUGAAAGCCCACGGCUCAACCGUGGAGGGUCAUUGGAAACUGGAAAACUUGAGUGCAGAAGAGGAAAGUGGAAUUCCAUGUGUAGCGGUGAAAUGCGCAGAGAUAUGGAGGAACACCAGUGGCGAAGGCGACUUUCUGGUCUGUAACUGACGCUGAUGUGCGAAAGCGUGGGGAUCAAACAGGAUUAGAUACCCUGGUAGUCCACGCCGUAAACGAUGAGUGCUAAGUGUUAGGGGGUUUCCGCCCCUUAGUGCUGCAGCUAACGCAUUAAGCACUCCGCCUGGGGAGUACGACCGCAAGGUUGAAACUCAAAGGAAUUGACGGGGACCCGCACAAGCGGUGGAGCAUGUGGUUUAAUUCGAAGCAACGCGAAGAACCUUACCAAAUCUUGACAUCCUUUGACAACUCUAGAGAUAGAGCCUUCCCCUUCGGGGGACAAAGUGACAGGUGGUGCAUGGUUGUCGUCAGCUCGUGUCGUGAGAUGUUGGGUUAAGUCCCGCAACGAGCGCAACCCUUAAGCUUAGUUGCCAUCAUUAAGUUGGGCACUCUAAGUUGACUGCCGGUGACAAACCGGAGGAAGGUGGGGAUGACGUCAAAUCAUCAUGCCCCUUAUGAUUUGGGCUACACACGUGCUACAAUGGACAAUACAAAGGGCAGCGAAACCGCGAGGUCAAGCAAAUCCCAUAAAGUUGUUCUCAGUUCGGAUUGUAGUCUGCAACUCGACUACAUGAAGCUGGAAUCGCUAGUAAUCGUAGAUCAGCAUGCUACGGUGAAUACGUUCCCGGGUCUUGUACACACCGCCCGUCACACCACGAGAGUUUGUAACACCCGAAGCCGGUGGAGUAACCUUUUAGGAGCUAGCCGUCGAAGGUGGGACAAAUGAUUGGGGUGAAGUCGUAACAGGGUAGCCGUAUCGGAAGGUGCGGCUG